ensembl:lncRNA
CUGCCGUCUACUGCAAAAGGAAAGCAUGCAGCUCUUACAACCAUCCACCUGCUGCCUUGAUGCUUUGCCACUAGCUGUUAAAAAAAUCAGUUGUUCAGCGGCCUAGCGAGGACAAUCUACCGAUAGUUAAUGGUUCACUGCUCACUGGCAUCUUCCCAGACUUAUUGAAAACUGCAGUGAUUAAGUGCCUCUUUAAAAAAAAGAACAAUUAGACCAAUUUCAGACCAACAAAAAAAAAAAAAAACCCAUUUCAAGCCUUUCAUAGAAAUACUCAAACGAGCCAGUCUGGCACAGGCAAAAUCACUGACAUUUUUCCCCCAUUCUGAUUUUUGAACCCUAACUGUAGCUCUUGACCUGUAUCAGCAUAUAUAGAAUGUAUAUAAACCUAAAAUGUGAUUCAUCAGACCAAUCCACCUUCUUCCAUUGCUCCAUGGGGGAGUUCUGAUGCUCAUGACCGUUGUAGGUGCUUUUAGUAGUGCACAGGAGUCAGCAUGGGCACUCUGACUGGUCUGCAGCUACGCAGCGCCAUACACAGCAUACUUUCAUGCAAUAUGUGUUGAUGUACUAACACCUUUCUAUCAUAGCCAGCAUGAACUUUUUCAGCAAUUUGUGCUGCAGUAGCUCUUCUGUGGGAUCCGACCAGACAGGCUAGCCUUCGCUCCCCAUGCGCAUCAAUGAGCUGGUUCAUUGGUUGUCCUUCCUUGGACCACUUUUGCACAUCAACUUCGAGAACUGACAUAUAUAUCCCGACAGGUGCCACUGUAACAAGAUAAUCAAUGUUAUUCACUUCACCUGUCAGUGGUUUUACUGUAUAUAUAAAUGCAAAAUGUUCCUGCUUAAAGUGACAAUAAAUGUUUUUAUUAAUUGUGUAGCUCGUUGGCAUCUUCAGAGACAAAGAAAAACUUCUUUAAUAAAUGUUUGCUUGCAGUUUCUUAUUAAAAUGCUGUUUUGUCUGACCGUAGAUAUAAAAGUGGUUCAUUUGAAACUGACUUAUUAAACCUGGA